rnacentral:lncRNA from 1 species
AAGUCUGUGCAGGUGAAGGUGUGUGAGAGCGCCCGAGAUGGCAGAACAAGAGCUACAGAGUCCACUCUUGUUGCCCAGGCUGCAGUGCAAUGGCGUGAUCUCGGCUCACUGCAACCUCCACCUUCUGGUUUCAAGCAAUUCUCCUGCCUUAGCCUCCCGAGUAACUGGGAUUACAGGCGUCCAUCACCACGCACCACUCAUUUUUUUUUUGUAUUUUUAGUAGAGACGGGGUUUCACCAUAUUGGCCAGGCUGGUCUCAAACUCCUGACCUCAUGAUCCACGUGCCUCGGCCUCCCAAAGUGCUGGGAUUAUAGGCGUGAGCCACUGUGCUCCGCCUAAGUAAGCAUUUUUAAAAUGAAACAAUGGUAUGUUUGUUGUCUGUUGCUGUGUAACAAACUAUCCCAAAAUUUAGCAGCUUAAAACACAAACACUGAACAUACCACAUAGUUUCUAAGAGUCAGCAAUCCAGGAGCAGCUCAGCCAGGGUUCAAGGUCUCUCAUGAACUUAUGGUCAAGCUACCAGCAGGGGCUGUGGUCAUCUGAAGGUCAGAGGAUCGCAUGGUUGUUCCACAGACUGUUGGGCACGCUUUAAUUAUAGGCCUUGUGAAGCUCUCCACAUCGAUGUCUGAAUAUCCUCACGACAUACAAAAGCUGGUUUCCCCUAAAGCAAGUGACAGAGAGAAAGAGAGAGACAGAAACAGAAGUCACAGCAUCUUUCAUAACCUGAUUUUGGAAGUGAAAAACUAUUCUUUCUGCUGUUUCCUAUUGUUCAUAUAGACCAAUCUUGGUGCAGUGUAAGAAAAAAAUGUACGAGAGACACAGAAUCUUCAGGGGCUGUCUUAAAGACUGCCUACCCAAUAUGGGUAGUUUCCAAAGCUUAAAAAAAAAACUUGUUUUAAAUACACCUUAUUCAAACAAGAUGCUUAUAAAAAUAAAAUAGGUGUGAGGAUAUUGUGUAAUAUGUAGCUAAGUAUGCAUCCUGUUAGAACGUCAAAUCAGUCUUAACAGGAGAGCUUAAAGUGUUUCAUAGGUCUUUUAUUUUGGAUUUUUUUUCCUUUUUUUAAUCUUUUCCUUUUAUUUUUAUUAGUGCAUGCUACUUCGAACAAGAUAUUUGGUAUGCUUUAAUGAUUAUAUGUUUCCAUAAUAAAUGCAAUCCUUUCUUGUU